rnacentral:rRNA from 1 species
GCCCAGCGCAUAACCUCCCGGGCUACCAAGCCUGCGGCGGAAUGUUGCGUUAAGGGAAAGGUCGUUUCAAAGCCCUGCACUACAUGGCCUAAGUUUGGCUUGAAUUUCUCACUGUAUCCUAACGGCUACAACGGCUCCACAGAGGGUGUCAGACCCGUGAGGCCAUGUGAUUAAAUGUGCGUGGGUUCGGCUUUAUUCCCUGAGAGUCGCGUUGCUUGAGCAUGCAGCGCUAAGCAGGUCGUAAACUCGACCUAAGGCUAAAUAUAUUCACAGAACCGAUAGUAAACAAGUACCGUGAGGGAAAGUUGAAAAGUACUCUGAAGAGAGAGUCAAAAGACCGUGAAACCGCUUAGAGUAUAAGCCAAUGGUAUUCUGGAAUGCUGGAGCUCCCCUUGCAAAAUGGUUCCCGAUUGUGGGGUACGUCCUAAGGGUAUCGUUUGUGCGAGAGAUCACGAAGGCUGAUGGGCAAUCGAACCGAAAAGUGGAAUUGAGUUUAUACCACGGCACCUAUAUCUCGCGGGUCUCUGACAGUGGUAACAGGGAACGUUCUAAUGAGGAACCGAACCGAGGCUGGGCUUCAGCGAGCAUCAGUUUCUAAGCAUAAUAACGAUUGGCUUUCUAUACAGCACACCACAAUCCUUUAUAAGGUCUCCCUCGUGAGGUGUGGUAAGAGGUCUCCUCUUUCAGCGAGUCGUGUCGCGUUAUCGCUCUCUGGUUUUUCGUGCGCUUUUGCAGCGUGCUCCCGUACCAAUAUACGUGUAUAGGCGCUCUUUGGCUUGAGCGCUCUUGUACAUUUUGGUGACGUGGUUGCUAGAGGGCCGGCCGACUUUGCACUGCACCGUUCCAGACACGAGCGGAAUGAUCCUAUGUGAAGAUUGAUUCUGACCGUCCGUUACCCCCGAGCCUUGCCUCAACAGAGCUUGGCGAGCAAAUUCCACGGUUGUGCCCUUGCGCUUCGUUACAUUAAGCCUCGUAGUUGGUCUUUCUAGGGAUGGGAGUGCAUUGGCCUCCUCGCGCCCUUUAGAGACUGGCGAAAGGGUGUUUCGGGCUGUGAGCGAGGGGCAUUCGUUGGGUAUACGGCCGAUUGGUGCAUUAUUCCAGAGCCAUUGGUCACGUCUCGAAACACGGGCCAAGGAGCAUAGCAUGUGCGCAAGUCUAAGGGAUAAGAAAUCCUGGAGGCGAAGUGAAAGCAAAUGGUGUGUUUACGAUCGCAUUGCGCGGUCGUAUUCAGCCUGCGAAGAGCGUAAUUCCCGCGCGUGCGUGGAUGAAUGCGUCUCGCGGCUUAAACCGGGUCGAUCCUGUUUCGUAAUCAAGCCUCAAAGGCGAUACGCGGGCGCAAACCCCAGGCUCUCUUACGAGAGUAUUCGCGUAUUCUCGAGAGCACUGCAUAGCGUGCAUGCUAUAACCCGAAAGWUAGUGAAC